rnacentral:lncRNA from 1 species
CCCAGCGGAGUCGAUAGUGCCAGACUGUAUCUUCCCAACAAAAGCAGUUGCUCCUCAGGGUUCGAUGCCAGAUCGAUAAUCUCGACGCCAGAUCCAUGGUCUCUUUCCUUGAAACAGAAUCUCGAUACCGUAUCGGUGUUUGCUUCCCCUGCCGAGUCGUCUCUUUCGCAGAUUAUGGUUGCCAGAACCACUGUCGCUUUCCUCAGCAGCAAGCUUUCA